UACGGAGGGUGCGAGCGUUGUCCGGAAUCACUGGGCGUAAAGGGCGCGUAGGCGGCAUGCCAAGCGUGUGGUGAAAGCCCGGGGCUCAACCCCGGGUCGGCCGUGCGGACUGGCGUGCUCGAGCACUGUAGGGGCGGGUGGAAUUCCGGGUGUAGCGGUGGAAUGCGCAGAUAUCAGGAGGAACACCGGUGGCGAAGGCGGGUCUCUGGGCCGAUACUGACGCUGAGGAGCGAAAGCGUGGGGAGCGAACAGG
rnacentral:rRNA from 1 species